UACGUAGGGGGCGAGCGUUACCCGGAUUUAUUGGGCGUAAAGAGCGUGUAGGCGGCCUGACAGGUCUGCUGUGAAAACUCGAGGCUCAACCUCGAGAUGUCGGCGGAAACCGUCUGGCUAGAGUCCGGAAGAGGAGAGUGGAAUUCCUGGUGUAGCGGUGAAAUGCGCAGAUAUCAGGAAGAACACCCGUGGCUAAGGCGGCUCUCUAGUACGGUACUGACGCUGAGACGCGAAAGCGUGGGGAGCGAACAGG
rnacentral:rRNA from 1 species